rnacentral:rRNA from 1 species
GACCGUCCCAGUUCGGAUCGCAGGCUGCAACCCGCCUGCGUGAAGUUGGAAUCGCUAGUAAUCGCGGAUCAGCAUGCCGCGGUGAAUACGUUCCCGGGCCUUGUACACACCGCCCGUCACACCAUGAGAGUCGGGAACACCCGAAGUCCGUAGCCUAACCGCAAGGGGGGCGCGGCCGAAGGUGGGUUCGAUAAUUGGGGUGAAGUCGUAACAAGGUACC